UACGGGAGGCAGCAGUGGGGAAUAUUGGACAAUGGGCGCAAGCCUGAUCCAGCCAUGCCGCGUGUGUGAAGAAGGCCUUUUUGGUUGUAAAGCACUUUAAGCGAGGAGGAGGCUCUCUUAGUUAAUACCUAAGAUGAGUGGACGUUACUCGCAGAAUAAGCACCGGCUAACUCUGUGCCAGCAGCCGCGGUAAUACAGAGGGUGCGAGCGUUAAUCGGAUUUACUGGGCGUAAAGCGUGCGUAGGCGGCUUUUUUAAGUCGGAUGUGAAAUCCCCGAGCUUAACUUGGGAAUUGCAUUCGAUACUGGGAAGCUAGAGUAUGGGAGAGGAUGGUAGAAUUCCAGGUGUAGCGGUGAAAUGCGUAGAGAUCUGGAGGAAUACCGAUGGGCGAAGGCAGCCAUCUGGCCUAUACUGACGCUGAGGUACGAAAGCAUGGGGAGGCAAACAGGAUUAGAUAACC
rnacentral:rRNA from 1 species